AGAGAGAGACAUGCGCGCAUAUCAAUAAGCGGAGGAAAAGAAACUAACUAGGAUUCCCUUCAGUAACGGCGAGUGAAGCGGGAAGAGCUCAAAUUUGAAAUCUUCAAGGUUCUACCUUGACGAAUUGUAGUUUAUAAGAAGUGAUUUCUGUUAGGUGUAUUGGCUAAAAGUUCUUUGGAAUAGGACAUCAUAGAGGGUGAGAAUCCCGUAUUUGGUCAUUCCUCCUAGCGUUGUGAUACACUUUCAACGAGUCGGAUUGUUUGGGAAUGCAGUCCAAAAUGGGUGGUAAAUUUCAUCUAAAGCUAAAUAUUGGCGAGAGACCGAUAGCGAACAAGUACCGUGAGGGAAAGAUGAAAAGAACUUUGAAAAGAGAGUUAAACAGUACGUGAAUUGUCAAAAGGGAAGCGUUUGACACCAGUGUUGUUUUUCCGAAAAUCAAUUACGAAUGUUUUAUUUUUGAGGAGUUAUGACUUCAUCGGCUUGCUCCUUUCUUUAUGAAACUUUCUUAAUGCACUUUUCGGUUAACAAGUCAACAUCAAUUUCUUUUGUUGUAAAAGGGUAUGAGGAAGGUGGCUUUCUUUUCGGAGAAAGUGUUUAUAGCCUUGUGCCUCUGCAAUCGGAGAGAUUGAGGUCUGCAGCGUAGAUCCUUCGGGGUUAGAUACAGUUUGUGCUAAGUUAUAGCUUUUCAUAGACAACUUGUUGACUAUGUUUAGUCUUGUAGCUUACUCGCUUAUGCUAUUUUACCUACGCUUAGGAUGUUGAUAGUCACAGCGUGUAC
rnacentral:rRNA from 1 species